UGAGAGCAAGAGCCCGGAGAUGGAUUCUGAGACAUGAAUCCAGGCCCUACGGGGCGCAGCAGGCGCGAAAACUUUACAAUGCGGGAAACCGUGAUAAGGGGACACCGAGUGCCAGCAUCAUAUGCUGGCUGUCCAGAUGUGUAAAAUACACCUGUUAGCAAGGGCCGGGCAAGACCGGUGCCAGCCGCCGCGGUAACACCGGCGGCCCGAGUGGUGAUCGUGAUUAUUGGGUCUAAAGGGUCCGUAGCCGGUUUGGUCAGUCCUCCGGGAAAUCUGAUAGCUCAACUAUUAGGCUUUCGGGGGAUACUGCCAGGCUUGGAACCGGGAGAGGUAAGAGGUACUACAGGGGUAGGAGUGAAAUCUUGUAAUCCCUGUGGGACCACCUGUGGCGAAGGCGUCUUACCAGAACGGGUUCGACGGUGAGGGACGAAAGCUGGGGGCACGAACCGGAUUAGAUACCCGGGUAGUCCCAGCCGUAAACGAUGCUCGCUAGGUGUCAGGCAUGGCGCGACCGUGUCUGGUGCCGCAGGG
rnacentral:rRNA from 1 species